rnacentral:rRNA from 1 species
GCUAAACGCGAAGAACCUUACCUGGCCUUGACAUCCAUGGAAUCCCGAAGAGAUUCGGGAGUGCCGCAAGGAACCAUGAGACAGGUGCUGCAUGGCUGUCGUCAGCUCGUGUCGUGAGAUGUUGGGUUAAGUCCCGCAACGAGCGCAACCCUUGUCCUUAGUUGCCAUCAUUAAGUUGGGAACUCUAAGGAGACCGCCGGUGACAAACCGGAGGAAGGUGGGGAUGACGUCAAGUCAUCAUGGCCUUUAUGGCCAGGGCUACACACGUGCUACAAUGGCAGGUACAGAGGGAAGCCAACCGGCGACGGGGAGCUAAUCCCAGAAAGCCUGUCUUAGUCCGGAUUGCAGUCUGCAACUCGACUGCAUGAAGUUGGAAUCGCUAGUAAUCGCAGAUCAGCAUUGCUGCAGUGAAUACGUUCCCGGGUCUUGUACACACCG